rnacentral:lncRNA from 1 species
CGCGGGGUCGCGGUGCUGCUCGCAAACCCGAGGCGUUUUCUCUCCUGASGCCGCUGAAAGAGUUUCUGUCUGCAUAAUUAGCUUUGUUUUUAAACCACUAUUCAGGAAGCUCAGAGACAAUGUCAUUAACUUUUGGAAACAAAACGAUGCUCACUUAGGUUCAUUUAUCGCAGCAGUUCCAUGGCAUAAUUUAGCGAUCCCGUGGCAAUGGGAGCCUCGUAACGGGGAAGGGAAGGAAACACGCGUGGUGACAGGGACUGCGACUCGUGUAAGGGCUUGGGAACAGGCUUAGCCCUUCGCCGGCUGGUGUGAAUUUAGUGCAGAGUUUCAUCGUGAAUCUUUACAGCUUGCUGUCCACAGGCAGUAUUUCAAAUAUAGCCCCGAUAUUUUUUGGAUCCAUCCCGACCGCCUGUUUGCAGUCACGUGCCCUCCCUUUAACCUGUAUUAGGAACCAUAGCUGUCGUCAGAAUGCAUUCCYGCGGCUUCCUUUUGGACAGACUGCAGACUAUGCUGACUGAUCAGAGCACGUCCUCCUCACUAAUCAGAAUCUACGUUAGAAAAGUCUCAGUGUAGGUAACCACUGAGGUAUUUCUGUAAAAUUUUCUUGAAACACUUGGUCAAGACUUCUGCUGAAGACAGACCUAACAGGACAGAAAUUUUUCUCUUAUCCUAUGGUACACCUAUGAAGACAGGUUGGUUGUGUAAGUGCCACUGUCAGCAGAGCAAAUCUGAUGAGUCACUUAGAGAAGAGAGUAACUUAAGAGGUAAGUUGAAAGUCACUUUUUUCUUUUAUAAAAUCAAGACUCCCUUCUUGCAAAAUUGCAAAAAAAAAAAAAAAAAAGAGAAGCAACCUCAAAUUUAACUUUGCUUUUAGUUGCUAAUAUCAGAGCAAAUUAAAAAACUUUAUUAAAAAUAAGGUGGGUUAAAAGUAACAUUACAUCAUAAUUUUUAAUAGUUUAUGAAUAAUGUCAUGUACUCUCCAUUUCUUAUUCAGUGAUUUCUAUAAGGCAAUAGCAAAUUCAUGAGAAGAAACAAGCUAUAUCAAAUGUAACUUUAGAUGUCACCUUUGAUUUUUUAUAGAGUUUACAUUAAAACUGAAAAAUCCAGAUCCAUAUGUGAAUUCUUAUUUUAGUACUAUUUAUGGGGUACUGAAGUAGAAGAUGCUUGUUUAGACUCUUAGGCUUCAAUUGCACAACAAAACAAUUUUAUACAAAUACAGUAAUUGCAACAUUGGUAAUUCCAAGCUGCACGGUUACGUCAAUGGCAGUAAGUGUCAUUUGGGACACUACACACAGAGAAACAGCCAGCAUUUGCCAUGAUGUCAACUAACUAUGGAAGCUCAUUUUCUUUUUUCAAGAUGUUGAAGAAAUAGGUAAAAAUGUUCGGAUUCACUGGGCAACGGGGAGAUGAAUUAUGAAGAUCUAGGACUUAACUCUAAAAUCCUUCCUGUUUGCUGCUGWGAGUUCUGGACUAUGGCUAUACCAAGAAGAGAUUGGUACGGAGUAAAGAGAAAACACUGGCCAGCCUAUGUAUAGGCUGUUCUUGUAUUUCACUUAAAAAUAUAAGCCAAUUACAUGGAAAAACAAAUCAGAAGUGUAAAGUAGUAACAGUUGAUCACAUUUAACUACCAUGUAAGUGAAGAGAAAAAACAACAGAUAACAAACACAUUUAAUCAUCCCUCUUCACCAAAACUAUCAAAGAUUUAACUCACAUAUGAUUCUUCUUCCCCAUUUAUUUUAGGUAACAGCAAAACAUCAAGGGACCUGCAGUGUGAGUAAAGUUUCCCAAGAAAGCUCCACAACACAAUGAUCCCCCCCCAAAAAAAMCCCUCUUAAUUCCUCCCCAAAAUAACAAAUAAGUAGCAAGCCGUAUCUUCUCAGAGAGCAUUCAAAUGCAGUAGGCAGUGGCCAAACCUUCACUAAUGCAAAGUCAGCUCAAUCAAACUGCACAGCUUCUUACAUACAGAACUUAAUUUAUCCAAAAAACACCCUUCUAUUGCACAUCCUGUAUAUUCCAUCAAAUGCUUUCUGCAUGCAUCAAAUCAGAGCUGUGGCAGAGAAGUCCCAACAGACUGGGUUAAGUGAAUCAUGUUUAGUCACCAGAUGUUCAAGAGAAACCUCUAAGAUUAUGAAAUCCCUGUUAUCACCAUGAAUUAAUGUAAUAAAGGUCUCAACAAUCUGCUUAUUAAAUAAUCG